rnacentral:tRNA from 1 species
GGGAGUGUAGCUCAGUGGUAGAGUGCUUGCCUACCAUGCAUAAGGCCCCGGGUUUGAUCCCCAGCACUGUCA